rnacentral:tRNA from 1 species
UACGGGAGAGCUCGGCGGUAGAGCGUGCUUGCCAUGCCCAAGGCUCUGGGUUCAAUCCCUAGCCCCGGAA